GGCUGCCCCCGGCUCAGCACCAGGCACUGCCACGUGGCACUGAUCCACAGCUGGGCCAACCUGCCCCACCGGUGAGGGGGGUCAGUGCCCAGGAAUGGGGUCCUGCAAAGCUCAAGCUCUUUUCACUACAAAUAUCAUUUACUGAAGGUCCAGUUUUCUUCCAUUAUGAAACCCCAGAUGUUUUAUGGUUGAAUCCAGGCUGGCCCUACCUGUGUUACUCCACGCAGCACCCAUUUUUGGCCAAAGUCCUUGUAGAAGUGCUGUGCUGCUUUCAGGCCUCGAGACUUUUAGCUUGUUUAAAGCCAAAAGAUGGCAUUCCUGAGAAAAGCUUCCCAUAUAGGGAAAUAUCUUCCGCUGCACACCAUGCCAGCUGGGUGUCCUUAGCACCUGACUUCCUGGCGUUUCAGUCUGCAGUCAGCACACACUGCCUCACGGCUCUGCUGGCUGAUGGUGUGUUCUCUGCCCAGCAUGCUGCCCUCGAUCAUGAGCAAGUUCCUGGAUAGCACCCUACAGAAAGCGCUGCAUGGCCUGGUGAGUGCUGCCUGAUGCUGCACAGCAUCUCCUCGGUGUGCUCUUACUCCUGUUCCUGCUCUGCUGCUGCUCACUGCUCCAGUGGAAGUGAGUGGAAGCUGGUGGGUGUGUGAGGGGAUGCUGGAUUUGGGCAUAACUCAGCCAAGGUGAGCCUGUCUGGGUGAUUAGGAGCAGAGGGUAUCAGUGCCUUAGGGCAGGAGCUGUGCAAGCCUGACUGCCACAGAGCUGUGUUCCCCCCUGAGCUGACGUGCACAGUGAUGUCACAGCUCUCUUUUCACCCUCCAGCUGUGUCCAGCCAUGGCCAUGGUGUUCGACCUCGUGAAUGCAAAGUUUGCCACCAUGAUGUAUGCAAUCCCUCUUGGGAAUGCUGGGAUGCUCCGAUAUGCCCUACUGAACCCCCCCAUGGUGAGAGAAGCUUUCAUCCAGCUGGAGCUGAAGGUCAGAUGCACCUGGUCCACUGUGCACAGCCCAAAUACAGACCCUGGCAGUGGACCUGUGCUGACAUGGCCCUGUCUGUGGGUCCUUUCAGGCCACUUUCCGCAGCAAGGAGGGAGAGGAGGUUGCCCUGCACUCAGAGCUGCCACUUCUCACUUCCCUCCCACUGAAAAGGGAAGCAGCCACUCAGCUCAUCCUGGCUGCGAGCUUCCUGAGUGCCGAGCUCUCCAUCAUGCAGGCAUUCUUCGGCCUGAACAUUACCAAUGGCAUGGUGGGGUAACACCAUGA
rnacentral:lncRNA from 1 species